UACGGGGGGAGCAAGCGUUGUUCGGAUUACUGGCGUAAAGGCGCGUAGGCGCCAGCACAAGUCAGUUGUGAAAUCAUCCGGGCUUAACUCGGAAAGGUCAAACUGAUACUGUGCGGCUAGGAGUGCAGAAGGGGCAACUGGAAUUCUCGGUGUAGCGGUGAAAUGCGUAGAUAUCGAGAGGAACACCUGCGGCGAAGGCGGGUUGCUGGGCUGACACUGACGCUGAUGCGCGAAAGCCAGGGAGCGAAGCGGG
rnacentral:rRNA from 1 species